AUUGAACGCUGGCGGAAUGCUUUACACAUGCAAGUCGAACGGCAGCACGGGUGCUUGCACCUGGUGGCGAGUGGCGAACGGGUGAGUAAUGCACCGGAACGUAUCCAAUAAUGGGGGAUAACGCACCGAAAGGUGUGCUAAUACCGCAUACGCCCUGAGGGGGAAAGCGGGGGGAUCGUAAGGACCUCGCGUUAAUGGAGCGGCCGAUGCCGGAUUAGCUAGUUGGUGAGGUUAAAGGCUCACCAAGGCGACGAUCCGUAGCUGGUCUUGAGAGGGACGACCAGCCACACUGGAACUGAGACACGGUCCAGACUCCUAC
rnacentral:rRNA from 1 species